rnacentral:rRNA from 1 species
CCUACGGGUGGCAGCAGUAGGGAAUAUUGCUCAAUGGGGGAAACCCUGAAGCAGCAACGCCGCGUGGAGGAUGACGGCUCUCGGAUUGGAAACUCCUUUUUUUAGAGAAGAUAAUGGCGGUAUCUAACGAAUAAGCAACGGCUAACUCCGGGCCAGCAGCCGCGGUAAUACGGAGGGUGCAAGCGUUACUCGGAAUCACUGGGCGUAAAGAGCGCGUAGGCGGGUUAGAAAGCCAGAUGUGAAAUCCUAUGGCUUAACCAUAGAACUGCAGUUGAAACUGUUGUUCUAGAGUAUGCGAGAGGUAGGUGGAAUUCUUGGUGUAGGGGUAAAAUCCGUAGAGAUCAAGAAGAAUACUGAUUGCGAAGGCGACCUACUAGAACAUAACUGACGCUGAUGCGCGAAAGCGUGGGGAGCGAACAGGAUUAGAUACCCCGGUAGUC